rnacentral:rRNA from 1 species
GACGAACGCUGGCGGCGUGCCUGACACAUGCAAGUCGGACGGUUCUUGCGCCUUCAAGCUUGCUUGUUGGUUCGAGGAUAGUGGCGGACGGGUGAGUAACGCGUGAACACCUACCCAUUGGAGGGGUACAACCCGUCGAAAGGCGGGCUAAUACCGCGUAAGCCGUGAGGUGAAAGGCUGCCUUUUUGGUGGCUGCCGAUGGAUGGGUUCGCGUCCUAUCAGCUUGUUGGUGGGGUAAGGGCCUACCAAGGCUAAGACGGGUAGCCGGUCUGAGAGGAUGGCCGGCCACACUGGAACUGAGACACGGCCCAGACUCCUACGGGAGGCAGCAGCAGGGAAUCUUGGGCAAUGGGCGAAAGCCUGACCCAGCGACGCCGCGUGGAGGAAGAAGUCCUUCGGGGCGUAAAGCUCUGUUGUAAGGGACGAAAGAUCAAGGGAAUAACUGCCCUUGAAGUGACGGUACCUUACCAGCAAGCCCCGGCUAACUACGUG